rnacentral:rRNA from 1 species
CACGUAGGGACCAAGCGUUGUCCGGAAUUAUUGGGCGUAAAGAGCUCGUAGGUGGUUUGUCGCGUUGUCCGUGAAAACUCACAACUCAAUUGUGGGCGUGCGGGCGAUACGGGCAGACUGGAGUACUGCAGGGGAGACUGGAAUUCCUGGUGUAGCGGUGGAAUGCGCAGAUAUCAGGAGGAACACCGGUGGCGAAGGCGGGUCUCUGGGCCGAUACUGACGCUGAGGAGCGAAAGCGUGGGGAGCAAACAGG